GCGGGAAUAGCUCAGUUGGUAGAGCACGACCUUGCCAAGGUCGGGGGCGACCGGUUCCCGGCGAGCAACAAAUCUCGUUUCCCGCUCCA
rnacentral:tRNA from 1 species